rnacentral:rRNA from 1 species
CUAUUAGGUGGAUAGCUUGGCUUGAAUAACGAUGAAGGACGUGACUAGCUACGAUAUGCUUUGGGUAGACGCAUGUAGUCUUUGAACCAAAGAUUUCUGAAUAGGACUUCCUAUUUUUUAAAUAAUCAGUAAUGAUUGUAAACACAGGGAAUUGAAACAUCUUAGUACCUGUAGGAAAAGAAAUCAAUUGAGAUACUGCAAUUAUCAGCGAGAGAAAGUAGUAUAAGGCAAACUGAAUUCUUUAUGGCAACAUAAAGAAGAUGUGGUGUUUAGAGCUAAGUUAUUUCUCUAAGAAAAAUUUUGAAUUUUCUUGGAAAAGAAAACCUCAGAGAGUGAUAGUCUCGUAAGAAUUUUUUAAAGAGAAAUUUUAGUUUCUAGAGUAGAACUCAUUGAAUAUUGGGUUUGAAUUUGGGAGACAUUAACUUCCAACCUUAAAUAUUAUUCAAGACCGAUAGUGUAAUAGUACAGUGAUGGAAAGCUGAAAAGAACCUGUAAAAGGGAAUGAAAAGAUCUUCAAACCUAAUAGGGAUAGAAUGAUACGGCUGUUGAAGUUGUAUCGUACGUUUCGAAUAACGGACCAGGGAGUUUAUCUAAGUGGCAAGGAUAGUCUAAAAAGAUAAUCCAAAGAGAAAUCAAAAAUUCGCAGUUUACAAGGAAUAUGGUAUUAAUCUGCCACAAGUCACUUGGGUAUGACCCGAAAUCAAGCGAUCUAACCUUGGAUAAGAUGAAGCAGAGGUAAAACUUUGUGGAGGUCUGUAGAGGUUCUGUGUGCAAGCGUUCUUCUAAUUUGAGGUUAGGGGUAAAAAGCCAAUCGAGCUUGGUGAUAGCUGGUUCCCAUCGAAAUUGGCCUCAGUCAAGUCUCAGUUAAGAUAUUUGUAAUUGUAAAGCUACGGAUUAGAGGUUUAGGGGAGUAAAAUCCUCGAUUUCUAGUCCAACUCUAAAUAUUACAAAAUCUAAGAUACUGGGAAACGGCGGUACGGGAUAAACCUGUAUUGCGAGAGGGUAACAACCCAAACUAUGAUUAAGGUCCUUAAAUAUUAGUUAAGUGUUAAAGGGUGAAGGGUGUGCAUAAUCACAGACAGCAGGGAGGUUUGCUUAGAGGCAGCAAUCCUUUAAAGAAAGCGUAAUAGCUCACCUGUCAAGAUUAUGUGCCCUGAAAAUGGACGGGACUAAACUAAUUACCGAUAUCAUAGACUAAGACAAUUAGUGGUAGAUGGGCGUAAUCGUAGAGCAAAAGCUUUUUCAUAAGAAUGAGUGGAUCUAUGAUUAAUGAGAAUCCUGGUGGUAGUAAGAUCUAUACAGAGUGAGAUACUCUGAUACCGAAAGGGCAAGGGUUUCUUAGCAAUAUUAUUUAACUAAGAGUAAGUCGAUCCUAACUAAACUCCUAACAGGAGCUAGGGAAAGGGAAAAAGGUUAAUAUUCCUUUACUCUUUAAGUACAAAUGGCAACAAAAGUCUAAUUUUUGACGAUUUGGAUUAGGUUGACAUUCGCUAUCUUGAAUGUUAAUCUAAAAAAAUCAAAGGAGUAUCAUAAUGAUGAGAAUUUGAUUAAAGUAGAGAAUAGCUAUUCUUUGAAUAGUUCAACUGAUAUCUGGAUCCAGUGAAAAGAAAAUUAGAAUGAAACUUAAAGAAUCGUACCCAGAACCAACACUGGUGCCCCUGGGUGAGAAGCCCAAGGUAUGAGGGAGUAAUCUAACUGAGGGAAUUCGACAAAUUAGUCUCGUAUCCUUGGUAUAAGGGAUCCCUGGAUUUGUGUUGUAUAAAUGCGAAUUCAGGGCUCAGUGACAAAGGGAGCCCGACUGUUUAACAAAAACUUAGCCUUUCGCAAGUCUGAAAAGAUAAGUACGGAAGGUGACAUCUGCCCAGUGCCAGUACCUCAAACUUCAUUCCAAUGGAGCUAAGGGCUGGUAAACGGCGGGAAUAACUAUAAUUCUCUUAAGGUAGCGAAAUGCCUUGUCGUUUGAAUGACGACUUGCAUGAAUGAUGUAACGAGGUUCCCAUUGUCCCCAGUUAGAGUCCCCUGAACACACUAUUCUGGUGCAAAAGCCAGAGACUUCCAGCGGGAAGUAAAGACCCCGUGAAACUUUACUGUAGCUUGUUGUUGUAAAGUGAAUUCUAUUGUCCAGCGUAGGUAGGAGCUUCGGCGAAAAUGUGACACUACCCUUUAGAAUUUACUUUGCUUACUAAGAAACUAGGACAUCUGCAGGCAGACAGUUCGGCUGGGGCGGCACCCUGCUGAAAAGAUAUCAGUAGGGCCCAAAGAUCAACUCAAGAAGUUUAGAAAUCUUCUGUAGAGUGCAAGAGCAAAAGUUGGUUUAAUUGUAUUCUAACCAUUACAGAAUACAAGAAGGAAACUUUGGUCUAGCGAACCCCUAUGUCCUCCUUAAUGGGGGCUAGGUAUGACAGAAAAGCUACUCCGGGGAUAAUUGAGUCGUCGCGCCUAAGAGCUCAAAUCGACGGCGCGGUUUGCUACAUCGAUGUCGGCUCACCGCAACCUGGCUGUGCAGAAGCAGCCAAGGGUGGGGGUGUUCACCCAUUAAAGCGGUUCGUGAGCUGGGUUCAGAACGUUGUGAAACAGUUUGUUCAAUAUCUACUGGAAGUGUAAAAUGUCUGAAGGGAAGAAUCAUUUAGUACGAGAGGAACAAUGGUUCAGGGCCUCUGGUGUAUCAGUUGUCUGAUAAGGCAGGCUGAGCAGCUACGCCCCAAGAGAUAAAUCCUGAAAGCAUCUAAGGAUGAAACUCUCCUUGAAAAGAGACAUUUUUAAGAACUCUCAUAAAAGAUGAGUUUGAUAGGAUUGUGGUGUAAGUAC